rnacentral:lncRNA from 1 species
UAAAAAUGAAAGCAAAUCUUAUUCAAAGCCAUAACGGACCUAUUUCUAUCAUUCCUCAGUUCAAAUGAGGUUGUACAAGCCUAUCUUUUUGUGACAGGUAAAAGAAACCAAAUAAACACUUGAGAAAACAUUCUACGUUCAUUAAAUUGUGAACUUGCAAAAUUAUAACAGGACAUUUUUAUGCAUCAGAAAAAAUCUUCUGAACUUAACUUCCAGACAGGUGAACAAUGUUUAUGGAGGAUUCCCAGUUUCGCAAAUUCACAAAGAUGUAUAGGAUAUUAAGUGUGUUAGUUCUCUCCCCCACCCCACAACAAGCCAUGCAAAUGGUAUCCAAAUGGUAUCAUGCUUUCACUGGUAUUGCCAUCUUUUCAACAACAUCUAACUUCAUCGAAAAGCAUCCUCAAUAAUAAUUUUUUCAUAUGGUUCUGAACCUCUCCUCAAAAUAGGAAUAGAUAAUUCACUAGCCCUUGAGGCUGAAACACUACCUCCAAUAAAAAAAAAAAAAACUCCUUUAGUAACAAAUUGAUGCAUUUAACCAUAUGCUUUCAAUUAUGUGCCCUUACCUUCGCAUGCAUCAUAUUUUGUAUCUUUAUAUUUACAAAAACUGUAUAAGAACCCCAGAUCCCUUCUCUCUGCUUCUCCACUAACUCUUUUCAAUUCCUUCUCUUCUCUAUGCUAAGAUGACACUACAGAAUAUAUUCAACACAGAUAUAUAAGUUCAAACUAUUAGCCAUAAAUAGAAAGCACGGAGAGAAAUAAUUUCUUGAUGCAUUCUUCUCCAUCAGUAUCUUGAUCACAUGGUUGAACUGUGCAGACAUACAACUUCUAGAACUGAAUGAAAGUCAAUCAUAAGAUAUUAAUUCCUGUUGCGCUUCUUCUGACCAAAACUAAUACUUGGAUAAGUCCAAAUUCCAAGUGAACACCAAUACUUUGAAAAACAACUUGAGAUGACUGCAUUAUAUCUUCAUCACAUUCAUUCGCACCUUUUACCCACAAUGCCUCUAUAAAAGCACUCAAUGGCAACAUAAUCAACAAACCAUAAUGAGACAAGAACUCCAUAAUGGAACCCCAUGAUAACCCGUCAUCAAAAACCAUAAAAUGACUUCAGGAAGCAGUGCAGAGGUACACAGUCAAUGUCCAUUAACAUGCACUGAUUACAUUUUCUCUAUUCACAUCAUGAAACCACAAGCAGAGUCGAAAUGCUACAAUGUGUAGAUGGAAGCACAGACCAUGAAACCACAAGUAUAAGGGCAGUCCAAUCAAGAAAGGAAGAUGCUUGCACAAGUUUCCAGAAAAAUAACCCUUAAAAAUGAAUAACACUAACACAAUAUUAUUCUUUGGAAUCGAUGCACAUCAUACUGUGGUAACAAUGUUAUAGUUCUGUUCUUACCAAAAGCUGCUAAGAUAUUCUCAAUACUAUUGAGAACCAGCACAAAUACUACAUAUCUGGCACAAUCAAUCUUAACAUGAAAAGCACCAAAUAAGCUGCAGCAUUGAACUAAGGGCACUCAGUCUGUUAGCACCGUUUCACCAUUCAAGUGCUAAAAACAUGCAUAAAAUAUGCUAGAUAUGAGGAGAAUCUGCAAACUAGAAACGUCAAAUCAACUAAAAGCUAUGAUAACAAGGAAACAAAUUCUAGGAAGAAAAUUCAUACAAUCUGGGUAAUGACAAAUCCCAGGAUUUUAUCCUAUGUUAUCAUGUUCGAAGUUAAACUAGACUGUUUUCUGCCCUAAUAUGGGAGUUGAAGAGCAUAAAAAGCAAAACACGCCAGACUAAUAACCAAAUAAUUCAAUCCUCUUAAGUGCGAGCCAGUAGAAAGAUCAUCAAUUCAUUAUUAUACAACAGAGGGAAGACAUACCAUCAACCAACCACAAUGAGCUAUCUCUGAAUAUUAAGCAUGGCUUUAGCCUCGCUCUGUUCCUCCAACAACAUUUCGCUGGCAUACUUACUAAGCAACUCCAUCUUCUUCUUCUCCACAACCAUCCUUUCGAUCUCCUUCUCAUCAGG